CGGGCAGGCUUGUCAGGAGGUCUGAACGACCAGCGCCAUCUGGUGGACUAAUCCAGUUCAUUUAAACAGAUGGACGCUUUACUGAUCCCACUGAUGUGAAGCACUGAGUAAAUAUUUUUUUUUAAAUUGGAUCCAGUUUUGAUUAAAUUACUGUUGAUUCUGUGUGAUUAGAGUUUUUUAAAAGCUUCUAAGUAAAAAAAUAAAUAAAAAAGGGAAGGAGGACUCAGAGUCGAGUUUAUUCUGAGGUUAAGUUCAAAGUUUUAAUUUGUUCUUCAGUCCCUUUAUUUCCAAAGCCCACAAACAAAAGUGCAGAUGUGUGAUUUCUACCUCAUAACCAGCCACCAUUCAAAUAAAACGUGGAGUUGAUGUUAAGUUCAAAGUUUUAAUUUGUUCUUCAGUCCCUUUAUUUCCAAAGCCCACAAACAAAAGUGCAGAUGUGUGAUUUCUACCUCAUAACCAGCCACCAUUCAAAUAAAACGUGGAGUUGAUGUUAUCCUGUCUGAAACGCACUAACUUAACAAACACUAAAGGUUCAGUAUUUACAGCACAGAGAGCUUUCCGGUACAUUCUAUUGGCAUUUCUCAAAGAAAACACUAAACGAACGAGUUUCCCUCAAAGGUUCCCGUCUGUGUGGAGUGUCAGCAGCACCCGCGUCUUUCCACACCAACACAACGAGCACUGAGCGCGCUCAGAUUAGCUUUAAAAUGACCUCAGUGGACACAUUAUCCCAUCCUCAGAUGGUAACAGUUAGUGUUAAUGUCAGUUUACAUAACGGGAGCUCACAGUACCUUAAAGUGUUAAAGCAGCAUCAGACUGGUGGAUAUGAAACCGCUGCUGUAAAGGCUCACACACACACACACACACCGUUUCUCUGACUUAGCUUCGCUUCCAUGAUUCACUAGAGUGAAAAGCAAAGCGUCGCUCACAUGGCCUUUAAUUAUGAGUGACUUGGCAACAUUUUCCCUUUGCUUUGUCUUUAAAUCCAGUUUGUGAUUAAAAGAAAGAUCGAUUAGCUUAUUUGAACUAGAACUAGGGCCUGUGAGUAUGUGUGGGAGCCUUUAGAGCAGCGGUCCCCAACCUUUUUUGCGCCACGGACCGGUUUAUGCCCGACAAUAUUUUCACGGACCGGCCUUUAAGGUGUCGCGGAUAAAUACAACAAAAUAAAACUAGUACCGGUACCGAAAAAAAAAGAAGAUUUAUUUAUAACACUCGUGAAAAGACCCAGGAAAACCGAGUUAACGAUAAAAGCGAUAACAAAAUAACGCUGAAAACCGAUAAAACCCUGAAAACCAUACAUUUCACACCUGAGCCUCAACUCUCGCGCCCGGUACCAAACGACUCACGGACAG
ensembl:lncRNA